rnacentral:ribozyme from 1 species
CUCUCAAAAAACAAGAAAAGAAAACUCAAAAGAGAGCAACAAAGAAAAAAUAAUUUUCCUUCUUCUUUCUCUUCUUCUUCCUCUUCCUCUUUCUCUCCUUCUCCCUCUUCUUCCCUUUCCUCCACUAAUUCU